rnacentral:rRNA from 1 species
UACGUAGGGAGCAAGCGUUGUCCGGAAUCAUUGGGCGUAAAGCGCGCGUAGGUGGCCCGAUAAGUCCGCUCUGAAAGUCACAGGCUCAACCUGUGAAAGCGCGUGGAUACUGUCGGGCUAGAGUCCGGAAGAGGCGAGUGGAAUUCCUGGUGUAGCGGUGGAAUGCGCAGAUAUCAGGAGGAACACCAGCGGCGAAAGGC